rnacentral:rRNA from 1 species
UACGUAGGGUGCAAGCGUUGUCCGGAAUUACUGGGCGUAAAGGGCGCGUAGGCGGGAUGGCAAGUCGGUCGUGAAAUCCCUCGGCUCAACCGAGGAACGUCGAUCGAUACUGCUGUUCUUGAGGAUUGCAGAGGAGACUGGAAUUCCCGGUGUAGCGGUGAAAUGUGUAGAGAUCGGGAGGAACACCGGUGGCGAAGGCGGGUCUCUGGGCAAUUCCUGACGCUGAGGCGCGAAAGCGUGGGGAGCAAACGGG